rnacentral:lncRNA from 1 species
AAAAAAAAAAAAGAACAAAAAAAAAAUAAAAUGAAACAUUAUGCAUGUUAAUAACUUUCUCUAUGGUUUUGGAAAUGUUUUAAUGGAAAUUAAAUAAGUUUGUAUCGAGAUGUCUCACUUUUUGUUUGCAUACUUAGUUGUGCAGAAUCUUUUAGUUGCACUUAAACAUAAAACAAAAGCAUGAAACAAACUGUGGUUUGCCCCAUUAUUUGCAUGUUUCUUCCUGUCUAUGUGAGCAAUUCAUCGCCAGAAUAAACUGCAAUGUGGAGCUUUAUGGUGAUAGUCAAACAAGUCUACAAGGGACUCACACAACAGACGGGAAGAAUAAAGCCAAGAGCAUAUCCACAGAUCAUAGGAGGGAGAAGCAGCCAAAACAUCACUGUGUGCUGUUCAGACCCCAGAAAAUGUCUUCACAACAUUUUUUACACCAUUUGCGAGCCCUUUUUUCCAGUAAAACCAUUAUCAUCUCUGUUCCACUGAGCUUUUUGUUAAUUGGGCUACAGGCAUUCAUGGAUGUCCAGUUUUCGUGCCCAUGUAUUGUUAUGUGGAACCAAGCGACAUCAAGCCUUGUCUUCAUCAUACCUGCGCUUUUUGUUUUUACUUUAAUGGUCCUAAUUUUGAGGCCUUUUAAAAGUGAAGCUGGACAAUCUGUUUCUAUAUCAGAAUUUCUAGCUUGUUUUAUUCCACCUGUCGUGUGGGUCUGUCUGCUGUUCCUCGAUGGUGAUUAUCUUGCUUGUGGACUGACAGACUGGAAUGGAAACUAUACUUGUGAUAAAAUGCUGAAUCCAAAUAGUCUGAAUUGGUGUGAACCCAGUGAAUGGAUCGAAGGAAGAACGAAGGCUACACUGUAUGACCAAACACGAAAGGCUGUUUUUAUAUCGAAGUUUAUAGGUUAUGGUCUGGCUGCUUUCUUCUGCAUUCCAGCACUUUUUGUUGUGUUUAUAAUCGACUGCAAAAGUGGAACAUCAAACAGCACCAGAAAUGGAGGUUCAGAGAUAUUGGAGGACAGCACUUAAUAGUGACAGCUCUAGCAGUCAGUGUUUUGCAAAGCCAUAAAGCUAUUUGAAACGGUACAACAGUACAGUGAAUAUUUAAUUAUGCCCCUUUUUGUGACUGCAAAAGAGCAACAACGUUUUCGCAACUCAAAAGUUAAACACUACUAAACAUCUAAAAACUAUAUAGACUUUCAUCAAUUGGCAUGUGGGUUAUGUCUAAUUUCUUCUUUUUGUCUGUGUGAAUGAUGUUUAUCAUUGUAUAACCACAGGAUGUGUGGGUUUUCUGCACCUGAAGUACAGUGCUAGCUUUUCUCAUCUGCCAGUUUUUGUGUAAUGAGAUGUUUAACUUGCCAUUUCUUUGUAGUUAAUCAUGAAAUGUAAUUGGAAUUUCUGAGUAAAAAUUGUGCCAAAUUCUUUUCAGUGUAAUUGUUCCAUCUUCACUGUCU